UUUUUUUUUGGUCGAAAGAGUUAGAGACUCGGAAUUCAUUAAAGAUAAAACAUAUUACAAAGCUAACCAACGGCCCAAGAUAAAAACAGUGGGAGGCCCAACCCACACCGACAAAAGCCUAGAACGGAAAACAAACGACAAAAAGAAAACCUAAUCUCCAUCAAGGAGAAGCAGUCUGACGCCGCAAAACUCUUGCCAGCAACCAUCAAAGUGACUGCCAUGUAGGACCAAAUAGAAGGUGGAUCCGCAAAGAGUCCAGCACAGCCAAAUUAACACAUAAAGAAAAGAAAUUCCAUAACAAAGAUCAUAUCUCAGAGUUCCGCAACUAACCAAGCCAUGUAGAUCCGUACCACCAACCACCACACCUGUAGGAAGAGAACCAAGUAGACACAAUACCGGGGGGAAGGAGGGCCAAAGAGAUGUGGUAGAACACCCUUACUAUGACGGAGGUCGCAGAACACUUCGCCCAAAUUUUUCAGCAUGCCGGUAAAACAAGGGGCAGUGGGGGUAGAGAUCUACAUCCCAAAUCGAGUCCAAAACUCGAAGACUUGAUUUUUGGUAGAAGGGGAAGUGAUGGAGAGGGUGAAGGUGGAGGUGCCAGGGGAAGGAAGGGGAAAUCAGAAAAAUGGAUGUGAGAGAAAAUGACCGAAGAACUGGAAUUUGGGUUUGAAAAGAGGGCAAGAUGUAGGAGGAAAAGAAAGAAGAGCCGGUAAAUGGUGAAGGACGUCGGAAAAAGAGGUAUUGACCUUACAAUCUGAUAGCCAUAGACAGCGGAAGGGUUGGUCAUAGACAUAAUAAAGUGCUAUCCCAGAUUCCCUUUUAAGGUUUCAUGUUGACUUCAGAGUGUUGAGCUCUAAAAAAGCUUAAGUGGCUAGCAUAUGUGGCUUUGUUGGAUUGAGGAAUGUGGAGAAUGAGGGGAAUUGAUAAUUGCUUUAUUGUAGACUUUGUACGAUGAUCGGGCUACUCCGCUUUUCGUUUGAUUGAGAAGAUUUCCGCUUUUGGGAUAGCUUAAUAUGCUUGAUGAGUUAGAUGUCAAAGCUUAUUAGAAGUCGUAAGACAGUGAUGACUGCACCCCCUCCAAUUCCCCCGCCUCCUACUUCAGCGGCCAUUGCUCCAGCAGAGAUGGAGCCCAGAUUGGUUAAUCUAGUUGAUGCGGUUGAUCCAGUUGCUCCCCGGAUCUCCUAGGCGCUGUCGUCAUCAACCUCUUUAGUGACGCUACCUGUUAGCGCCAGGCGUGGUCACCAUCGCCCCCGCACACUCGACACAACAUCGGCAUCCACUACUGAUGCCUCGAGGUCCCAACAAGCAAAGAAAAAUACCCAGGGACCUUUUCACUAGUUGAAGAAGGCGAAGAUCACCUGGGUGACCAACUGAUGUAUCAUGAUCGGAUACGACGAUCGGCAUUGGGCUGCACCAACAGCGGAUUGGCCCACGACAUUGGUCACAUUGUUCGGACCUAUUGCUCUAUGCAAUUGAAGUCUUGGAAGGCGAUGCCAGACGAGGUGAGGACGAAGGUGCGCGAAUAUUUGUCGACAAACUACAAUUCGAAGACAUCAACAACGAUAUGUUGGCGUACGUCAGCAAGCUCUUCGCUGAACGGUACAAGCAGUGGAAGAGUGACCUGCACCAAUAUUUUGAGACAUUUGAUGAUCCGGAUGUCGCUCUAGAGGAGGGUUGUUCGAAGAAGUUUUAGGAUCGAGAAGAAAAUUGGGUGUGGCUCUGCAAUAAUUUUCAGGGGCCCAGCUAUGUGAAGAAGGCAAAAGCCAACAAGAUCAAUUGGGAGAAGAAGACACUUCUCCACCAUUCGGGUUCGAGGCCCUUCUCAUGUAGGAUAAAGGCGUGGCUAUAGAGGGUUUCAAAAUUCUCGAAGAUCGAUGUCUUUGGAGACGUUUAUGUUCAACCUGGGGAUGAGUUGGCCGAGUCCCUUCAUGCGAAGAUGAUGGAGAAUAGACAGUUGGUUCUUCAGGACUCCGCCUCCCAGCUUUAUCCUGAGACUCCACUCGAGUCUAUGGAUCUGCCCGAGGAUGCGGGGUUUCAAAUCUUUACAGACACCUUGGAUUAGACUCUCGGGCGGAGGCAAUCGAUGUAUUGUAGAGGAUGGGGGAUGUCUGGCGGCGAGAACCUAGAGCCUCUUCAUCAUCGUAGUCGAAGGCCAAUGUGACAGCUUUGACAGCAGAGGUGGCUAACUUAGGACUGAACUCGCAUUGUAUAAGAGCCAUAUGUCACUGAACGUAUAGGCCCUCAAUCAGUCUGGCAUUCGUCUCCUGGAUAUUCGUCCCCCGUCGACGUCCGAGCCUCUCUAACUCGAGCAUGCCUAGAACUCUGCCCCUUCAACCUCUGAGCCCGUCCUCAACCCUACGACCUUCAUGCCCCAAGAUUUCCAGCCGCCUGCGAAUGACGACCCCGUAGAUUAUUCCACAUUCUUUUCUUAGUUUUUUACUCCCUUACUUUAUAAACAUCUUCCUUGUACAUACAUUUUAUAUUUAUUUUAAAUAAAUUAUUUUUCUCCUCA